GGGUGCGAUCAUACCAGCACUAAUGCACUGGAUCCCAUCAGAACUCCACAGUUAAGCGUGCUUGGGCAAGAACGGUACUAAGACGUCCUUUGUCACAAGAC
rnacentral:rRNA from 1 species